ensembl:ncRNA lncRNA:CR45823 long non-coding RNA:CR45823
AUGCUUUUUGUUAAAUAAAUUAUUUAUGGGGCAGGCUGAGAGGCAGGUGUUGUAUUCCGCUUCAGCUGGAGACACGUGGCAAUGGCCUUUGAUGGACCAGAAGAAGAAAAAACCAGGAAGUUUGCAUAACCAGGAGAAGGACACUUAAAACCGAAACAUUACAUAUUGUUGUCCUCUAUUUUUGCACUUUUCCCACUUGACUCAAUGACACCCCGGCAAUCAAAAAUGGCUCAUUAAUAUGCAUAAAUAAAUUACCGUCGAUUUUCGAAUCCAUCGGCAAUUGCAGAACAUCAAUCAACCGAUCGAUAAAAUAAAAAAUGUAUUUGCCAUAAUCAAUCAAAGAAUAUAAAUUGGCAAUGCAAAGAGUCCAUGAAUGCCAAGAGGUCAGAAUGUCUCAGUUCCGCUCCCCCUUACCCCCUCACUUUUACCACACCCUGCGCUAAUUGGCAGUGCAAAGCGAGUGUCCCUGCAACCCACAAUCCACCCCCAACGCCCCACCACCCACAGGCCCACUAUGUCUGUGGAAUCUGCAUUCAAUUAACGCCGGAAACGCGCGCUAGAAGGAGAAGGGGAAAAGUCGCUGAUAAGGACACGGUCACCCAGGAGGAAAAGAGUGCGGCUUUGCUGCAGAGACAUGUAAUAAAUGUUCAACAUUCUCGUGCUGCUUUAAUUAAUACAAUUAAAUGUCGAGUGUGAAUAAUUGAAAUUGCGCGAGAAGAUGACGGAGAAUCCCAUAAAAGAAUUACGCAUCGCAGGGGAUAUUCGAGCUUACUUAUGUUUCUCCAUGUAUACAAAAAAGCGAGUAAAUAUCAACAAAUAAACGAUGGAGAUGUUUGCUUGAAUCAGCUGACAACACAUUGGGGAUCAGCAU